GGAGAGGUGUGCGAGCGGUUUAAACAGCAGUCCUGGAAAGACUGUGUACCGAAAGGUACCGAGGGUUCGAAUCCCUCCCUCUCCGCCA
rnacentral:tRNA from 1 species